ACUCUCAUUUCAUCCACAGUGACCCAGGCACCCAAUUAUUGAAUGCUUUUAGAAGUCUUCUCAAAUGAAUCUCUAUGAACAGCAGUAAUAACGGUCUCAGGUCUGAAGUCCACUGCGGUCAGCCUUCCCUGGUGGUGAGCUGCUGUCAGAACCUCCCCACUACUCCUCUGGGUGGCCCCAGUCUUGUGCCUAUUUCCCUCUCGUGGUCAUCAAGUCUCGCCCAGUGGAAAUUGACUUCCUUGUUCUGAGCUGCCCCAUGGAGAGGCCAUGUGGCAAAGAAUUGAGGGUGGCCUCCAGCCAACAGCCAGCAAGGAACUGUGGCCUUCGGUGGGAGGAACAGAAUCCAACUAACAACCAUAUGAGUGAGCUUGGAAGCAGAUGCUUCCCCGGUUGAGACCUGAGAUGACUGUAGACCCAGUUGACACCUUGAUUGCAGCCUAUGAAAGGCCCUAAAGCAGGGGACCCAGCUAAGCCAAGGCCAGGUUCCUGACCCAUAGGAACUGUGAGAUAAUAAAAUUUUUUUUUUGUAAACCA
rnacentral:lncRNA from 1 species